CACUGUCUUCUCCACAUCCAUUAAACCCCAUUCAAUCUUCAACCCCCAAACAACAAUCUUCACCAGAUCUCUUCACUCCCUUUAAUCUCUACAUUUCAAUUACCCACUUCAACCCCUCCACCAACAAAAACCCUAACCCUAAUCACCCCCAAUUCCAUUUCCCACCGAUUCACCUGCAAAAAACCAAUAAAAAACACAACUUUCAAGAUCCAAUCAUCAUCCUCAUCACACAUGAUCGAAAAAGAGACCGCAGGACCCACCGUCCGGACACUUUUCUCCGAGAUUCCGCCGCCGUUACCACUUCCGGAAGCUCCUCCACCGCCGUUACCACCGGAGAAGUCGAUUCUAGACGGAUUUUUGUAAGCUACAGUUACACAAAAUGAUUUAUUAAUCGUUUGGUUCGCUUACAGUUACACAGUAAAAGAACAUCCAGUAACCUCUCAAACGGGUCAAGUUCAGAAUCAGAAGCCUUUAGACCGAGAAACCGGAUGGUGGCACAUUUUACAGCAUCAUGGUACAUCCCUUCUGUAGCUAUGAACCCUUUUAUAGAAGAGCUGGCCUUAAGUUUUAAUGACAUAAUCUUUCUGACAAUUGACCCUAUAGGAAGCGGCAGAGGUUAAAUACGAAAUUGGUAUUCAAAUUCCAAAUGACUUUUCUACAAGUCAGUCAACAGUCCCCACGAAGGAUUCGAGAGAGAGACAGAGAACUGAAGAGGAGGGAGGAGGAGUGGGGAGAUAUAGUGAUUAGGGUUAGGAAAUUGUAGAAGAUGAAGUGUGUUUAUGCAUUUUUUUUUAUUUUAUUUAUUAAACAUUUAAAUAAAAGAUGAAUUGACCAGAA